GAUUUCCGGGGGUGCUCGACAUCCUGUUUAUUUUGAACCUACAUUCUGAUUACGGGAGUCCAAGACGAGAAAAAAAUAUGCAGGGCCGCAAGAUAAUUCCCUUUGGGCAGCGGAUUGCAGAAUUUUAUCUGCGGACACCCACCUAGCUUAGGCUAGGUGUCAAAAGGCAGGCAACGACAUCCCGGGACUAAA
rnacentral:other from 1 species